rnacentral:tRNA from 1 species
CGAGAUAGAGCUUGGGAUAAGCAGUUCGUUUACACCGAAAAGAGUGUCUAUAAAGGUAGGCUAUCUUGA